rnacentral:rRNA from 1 species
UACACGCUAUCAGCUCAUAGCGUAUGUUAAAGUUGUUGCAGUUAAAAAGCUCGUAGUUGAACCUUGGGUCUGGCUGGCCGGUCCGCCUCACCGCGAGUACUGGUCCGGCUGGACCUUUCCUUCUGGGGAAUCUCAUGGCCUUCACUGGCUGUGGGGGGAACCAGGACUUUUACUGUGAAAAAAUUAGAGUGUUUAAAGCAGGCAAU